rnacentral:rRNA from 1 species
AUACGGAGGGUGCGAGCGUUAUCCGGAUUUAUUAGGUUUAAAGGGUGUGUAGGCGGGAGCCUAAGUCAGUGGUGAAAUCUCACAGCUUAACUGUGAAACUGCCAUUGAAACUGGGUUUCUUGAGUAUAGUUGAGGUAGGCGGAAUGUGUAAUGUAGCGGUGAAAUGCAUAAAUAUUACACAGAACACCGAUUGCGAAGGCAGCUUACUAAGCUAUUACUGACGCUGAUGCACGAAAGCGUGGGUAGCGAACAGGAUUAGAAACCCCAGUAGUCC